GAACCGGACAAACGUUAUUCGGGAAUCAUUUGGGGGCUUAAAGGGGUGCGUAGGCGGCGUAGUAAGUGAGGUGUGAAAGCCCUCGGCUCAACCGAGGGAAUUGCGCUUCAUACUGCUAUGCUUGAGGGAGACAGGGGUAAGCGGAACUGAUGGUGGAGCGGUGAAAUGCGUUGAUAUCAUCAGGAACACCAGUGGCGAAAGCGGCUUACUGGGUCUCUUCUGACGCUGAGGCACGAAAGCUAGGGUAGCGAACGGGAUUAGAUACCCCGGUAGUCCUAGCUGUAAACGAUGAGCACUUGGUCGAGGGGUCCCCCCACUAGAUUCUCGACCGUAGCGAAAGUGUUAAGUGCUCCGCCUGGGGAGUAUGGUCGCAAAGGCUG
rnacentral:rRNA from 1 species